rnacentral:rRNA from 1 species
GACGAACGCUGGCGGCGUGCUUAACACAUGCAAGUCGAACGGAAAGGCCCUGCUUUUGUGGGGUGCUCGAGUGGCGAACGGGUGAGUAACACGUGAGUAACCUGCCCUUGACUUUGGGAUAACUUCAGGAAACUGGGGCUAAUACCGGAUAGGAGCUCCUGCUGCAUGGUGGGGGUUGGAAAGUUUCGGCGGUUGGGGAUGGACUCGCGGCUUAUCAGCUUGUUGGUGGGGUAGUGGCUUACCAAGGCUUUGACGGGUAGCCGGCCUGAGAGGGUGACCGGCCACAUUGGGACUGAGAUGCGGCCCAGACUCCUCCGGGAGGCAGAAGUGGGGAAUAGUGCACAAUGGGCGGAAGCCUGAUGCAGCAACGCCGCGUGCGGGAUGACGGCCUUCGGGUUGUAAACCGCUUUCGCCUGUGACGAAGCGUGAGUGACGGUAAUGGGUAAAGAAGCACCGGCUAACUACGUG